rnacentral:rRNA from 1 species
UACGUAGAGGGCAAGCGUUGUCCGGAUUUAUUGGGCGUAAAGCGAGUGCAGGCGGUUCAAUAAGUCUGAUGUGAAAGCCUUCGGCUCAACCGGAGAAUUGCAUCAGAAACUGUUGAACUUGAGUGCAGAAGAGGAGAGUGGAACUCCAUGUGUAGCGGUGGAAUGCGUAGAUAUAUGGAAGAACACCAGUGGCGGAAGGCGGCUUACUGGACAGUAACUGACGA